AUAUUGGAGCAUUGAUUAUAGAACCAGUUAUUCAAGGUUCUGGCGGAAUGCUUAUGAUUGAUCCACUUUUCCAACGGGUACUUGUAAAUGAGUGCCGAAGUAGAAAUAUUCCAAUUAUAUUUGAUGAAGUCUUCACGGGUUUUUGGCGUCUCGGAGCAGAGAGCGCAGCAGAACUACUUGGUUGUGUACCAGAUAUAGCCUGCUUUGCAAAGCUGAUGACUGGGGGGAUUAUACCCUUGGCUGCCACAUUGGCUACAGAAGAAGUCUUUGAUUCAUUUAUUGGAGACUCAAAGCUCAAGG
rnacentral:misc_RNA from 1 species